AAACUAUGCAUUAGAAACUUUCACAUCAAAUCUUUAAAUCUCUCACAUUCUUCAUACAAGCUUUCAUUAUCCAUCUGUUUAAAUGAAAUCAAGUAAUUUCGAAGCUU